UGACGAGGAACGGGAGCAUUUUGAGGAGAGAACAGAUCCAGCAGAGGACAGUAAAGCAAGCUGCUGUGACAAUGGGAAUGUGUCUGCAUCACCCUUGCCUUCACCAGCACCUCACAUCAGGACACCACAUCAGGUUUGCAGGACCUCCAUUUAUCGUCUCCCCUCCAGAGAACAUAACCCUGAACAUAUCCCAGGAUGCAUUCUUCACCUGUCAGGCCGAGGCAUAUCCAGGCAACAUGACGUACACCUGGUUCUGGGAGGAAGAUAACGUCUUCUUCAAGAAGUAAAGUUAUGAUCGGGUUUGUUACUGUAUCACAUCUCACUGCUUCUGUGCUUCACUACCAUCAUCCUCAUUCAGAGAUCAGGAUUACUUACAGCAUGAAUGCGUGCAACUCUGUUACAGGAAUUUUAAAAUGUUUUUUAAAAUUGUUUAAAAUGUAGUCAAUCAGCCAAGAAGUGUUGGAUGAAGCUUGUAGUAAAAUCUUGCUAGGAAAAAAUUCUACGGCAUCCAAAAUAUUCCAAUAAACAGCUGAUCGUAUUCAUUUGUUUUCAAACAACAUAUUUAGCUUAUGCAACCAUUAGUUUGAAAUAAAAUUUGUGGAAAUAAAAUGAAACAUUUAGAGAACUUUGAGAGACAGGACCUAGAGGACGUCUUGUAAAAGAUCUAAAGCAAACACCCAACAUGUCUUGGCUGAUCGAUGGAGUUUAUGAUGGUAGUUAGAAAAUGAUUUGUUUUUUCACAGUAAAAGGUCUAUUCAUCAUGUGAUUUAAAUUAAAAGUUAUUAUAUGGA